GAUGAAGAACGCAGCGAAAUGCGAUAAGUAGUGUGAAUUGCAGAAUUCAGUGAAUCAUCGAAUCUUUGAACGCAUAUUGCGCUCUCUGGUAUUCCGGAGAGCAUGCUUGUUUGAGUAUCAGUAAACACCUCAACUCCCUUUUCUUUUUUGAAAUUGGAGCUGGACUUGAGUGAUCCCAACGCUUUCUUCCAAGAAAGUGGCGGGUUGCUUGAAAUGCAGGUGCAGCUGAACUUUUCUCUGAGCUAUAAGCAUAUCUAUUUAGUCUGCCUAAAAAACAGAUUAUUACCUUUGCUGCAGCUAACAUAAAGGAGACUAGUUCUUGUGCUGACUGAUGCAGGAUUCACAGAGACAGCUUCGGCUGACUUUGUAAACUCGAUCUCAAAUCAAGUAAGACUACCCGCUGAACUUAAGCAUAUCAAUAAGCGGAGGA
rnacentral:misc_RNA from 1 species